GCGUCAAAAGCUGCAUCAAACUGUAUAAUGUCCUCCGUUUUCUCCUUCCUUUGUCCCUGUAGUCUGGUGAUCUUCAAGGUGCGUUUUCCCUGUUCCACUGCUUCAAGUUCAGCUAAAUAAGUCUGUAUUUUCUGUACUAGAUCUCUUCCUGAUACAAACUUUUUUUCAUGCACCAUUUGAUUUCGUGAGUUCCAUAUGACCCAUAAAGCACAGCAAAACACCUGACACUGUUCCUUGGUUCCUUUUUCGAAGACCCAAGGCAUUGUUGGAAGACAUGGAGACUGUUCUCUUCCCCGGAGUCACAUCGAGGGCAUCUCACAUUUGUGGUCAAUCGUUUACAUCGUAGGUUAACUAGUGUAGGAAUAUAGUUCCAGGAUAUCCUCCAUGCCAAAAGUAGAAUUUUUGAUGGAAUUUGUAAACUCCAUAAUUUUCUGUAGAAGUCCUUGAAAUCGGUCUGUAAUAAAUUACUAGGAUCUGGAUUAGCUUCUUAUAAUAGUUUUGUAAGCACUCCGUACUGAAAAUUCUCCAGAUGGUUCUCCCUUCCAAAUGAGCAAGUCUUCGCUGCCUGUUUCUGCGAGUGGGAUCUGUAAAUUUUUUUGCGCAAUGUCCGUUUGAAAGGUUCGAUCCCUGGAAUCCAUCGAUCUGACCAAAUAGAAAUGUUGUUUCCUUUCCCAACUCUCCAACUUAGCCCCUGAAUGAGAAGUCCCUUUGCAGCCCAGAUACUCUUCCAGGUUAGAGAAGGGACCGAAACACAAGAAAUCAAGAAGAAAAAGAUAGACGAAACAAGAAAACCUAAAAAAAACUUGCCAGAGGCUGCAGACAUAAACGUGUUAGGGUAGCAGACCUAGUACUAAAUUUUAAAUAUAACUGUUCAAUAUAAUCAUAUUAUUUGAUAAAAGUAAAUAUUGAUUUUUUUAAAUAUAUUUAUUUGUUAAUUUUAA